CCCGCAAAAUCGGGAAGAUCUUGGCAAGGUUGCGACUGACCCAGGUCCUCACCGGUGUCUUCCUCAAGGCCACCGAGGCAAACCUCAAGAGACUUGCUGCUGUUGGACCGUUUGUCACCUAUGGGUUCCCCAAUUUGAAGAAUGUGAAGGAGCUUAUUUACAAGGAGCCUUUCCCCCUUACCAGCAAUGAUCUAAUCAAGAAGAGGCAGGAGGAAGAAAAGACAACAAUCAACACACACGUUCUGAAAAAAAAAAUCUUGUUUUCACUUUCUUACUACGGCAAUGUGAGAGACUUAUAAAAAUGAGGAAGUUCAACCUUAUCUUUGUGAAGGUUCAAUGAGUGUACCA